GCAAUGGUGGUUCAGUGGUAGAACUCUCGUCUUCCAUAUGGGGGGCCCGGGUUUGAUUCCUGGCCAAUGUC
rnacentral:tRNA from 1 species